rnacentral:rRNA from 1 species
UGGUACCUACGGGACGCAGCAGUGAGGAAUAUUGGUCAAUGGUCGGGAGACUGAACCAGCCAAGCCGCGUGAGGGAUGAAGGUACAGAGUAUCGUAAACCUCUUUUGUCAGGGAACAAAGGCGGGGACGCGUCCCCGGAUGAGUGUACCUGAAGAAAAAGCAUCGGCUAACUCCGUGCCAGCAGCCGCGGUAAUACGGAGGAUGCGAGCGUUAUCCGGAUUUAUUGGGUUUAAAGGGUGCGCAGGCGGUCUGGUAAGUCAGCGGUUAAAGCCCGGGG